rnacentral:rRNA from 1 species
ACGAUGGGUAGCCGGCCUGAGAGGGUGUACGGCCACACUGGCACUGAGAACAAGGGCCAGUCCCCUAUGGGGAGGCGCAGGCGGGAUAGUUCACAAUGGGCGAAAGCCUGAUGACGCGACGCCGCGUGGAGCCGAAAAGCAAGAACCUUCGGGUUGUAAAGCUCUGUCAGGAGGGAAGAAGGCUCUACGGGUCAAUAGCCCGUGGGAUUGACGGUACCUCCAGAGGAAGCCCCGGCUAAAUACGUGCCAGCAGCCGCGGUAAUACGUAUGGGGCAAGCGUUGUCCGGAUUUACUGGGCGUAAAGGGCGCGUAGGCGGUUUGUUAAGUCGAAGGUGAAAUCCUCGGGCUCAACUCGAGAAUUGCCUUCGAUACUGGCAAACUAGAGUGGCGGAGAGGAAAGCGGAACUCUUGGUGUAACGGUGGAAUGUGUAGAUAUCAAGAGGAACACCGGUGGCGAAGGCGGCUUUCUGGACGCACACUGACACUCAGGCGCGAAAGCGUGGGUAGCAAACAGGAUUAGAUACCCUGGUAGUCCACGCCAUAAACGAUGGGUACUAGGUGUCGGGGGUAUCGACCCCUCCGGUGCCGCAGUUAACGCACUAAGUACCCCGCCUGGGGAUUAUGGUCGCAAGGCUGAAACUCAAAGGAAUUGACGGGGCCCCGCACAAGCGGUGGAGCAUGUGGUUUAAUUCGACGCAACGCGAAGAACCUUACCUGGGCUUGACAUGCUUGGGACAGCGCUGGAAACAGCGUCUCUCCUUCGGGAGCCCUUGCACAGGUGCUGCAUGGCUGUCGUCAGCUCGUGUCGUGAGAUGUUGGGUUAAGUCCCGCAACGAGCGCAACCCUCGUUACUAGUUGCCAUCAGUUCGGCUGGGCACUCUAGUGAGACUGCCGGUGAUAAACCGGAGGAAGGUGAGGAUGAUGUCAAGUCAUCAUGGCCCUUACGCCCAGGGCUACACACGUGCUACAAUGGUCGGCACAAAGGGUCGCUAAGCCGCGAGGUGGAGCUAAUCCCAAAAAGCCGGCCUCAGUUCGGAUUGGAGUCUGCAACCCGACUCCAUGAAGGCGGAAUCGCUAGUAAUCGCGGAUCAGCAUGCCGCGGUGAAUAUGUUCCCGNGGGCUUGUACACACCGCCCGUCAUAUCACCCGAGUCGGGGAUACCCGAAGUCCGUGACCCAACCAUUUGGAGGGAGCGGC